AACAGAGCAGAAACAGAACAU
rnacentral:miRNA from 1 species